GACGAACGCUGGCGGCGCGCUUAACACAUGCAAGUCGAGCGAUGAAACUUUAACAGAACCCUUCGGGGCGAAGAUAAAGUGGAUUAGCGGCGGACGGGUGAGUAACACGUGAGUAACCCGCCUUAGACAUUGGGAUAGCCUCGGGAAACCGGGAUUAAUACCAAAUAAAAUCAUAAUGACACAUGUCAUAACGAUCAAAACUCCGGUGGUCUAAGAUGGACUCGCGUCCCAUUAGCUAGUUGGUAGAGUAAAAGCCUACCAAGGCGACGAUGGGUAGCCGGCCUGAGAGGGUGAACGGCCACAUUGGAACUGAGAAACGGUCCAAACUCCUACGGGAGGCAGCAGUGGGGAAUAUUGCACAAUGGAGGGAACUCUGAUGCAGCGACGCCGCGUGAACGAAGAAGGCUUUCGAGUCGUAAAGUUCUUUUAUAUGGGAAGAUAAUGACGGUACCAUAAGAAAAAGCCCCGGCUAACUACGUG
rnacentral:rRNA from 1 species